rnacentral:rRNA from 1 species
AACUACUAGCUAAGCUUAAAACCCAAAGGACUUGACGGUGUCCCACCCUUCUAGAGGAGCCUGUUCUAUAACCGAUAAUCCACGUUAUACCCUACCAUUUCUUGCUUUUCAGCCUGUAUACCUCCGUCGUAAGCUUGCCAUAUGAACGCACAACAGCAAGCUCAAGGACCCAACGCCAAUACGUCAGGUCAAGGUGCAGCUUAUGAAAUGGAAAGCAAUGGGCUACAAUUUCUACCUUAGAACAUACGAGAGACUACAUGAAAACCUAGUCAUAAGGCGGAUUUAGCAGUAAAUGGGGGAUAGAAAACCCCAUUUAACCUGGCCCUGGGACGCGUACACACCGCCCGUCACCCU